rnacentral:rRNA from 1 species
GACGAACGCUGGCGGCGUGCUUAACACAUGCCAGUCGAACGGAAAGGCCCUGCUUUUGUGGGGUGCUCGAGUGGCGAACGGGUGAGUAACACGUGAGUAACCUGCCCUUGACUUUGGGAUAACUUCAGGAAACUGGGGCUAAUACCGGAUAGGAGCUCCUGCUGCAUGGUGGGGGUUGGAAAGUUUCGGCGGUUGGGGAUGGACUCGCGGCUUAUCAGCUUGUUGGUGGGGUAGUGGCUUACCAAGGCUUUGACGGGUAGCCGGCCUGAGAGGGUGACCGGCCACAUUGGGACUGAGAUACGGCCCAGACUCCUACGGGAGGCAGCAGUGGGGAAUAUUGCACCAUGGGCGGAAGCCUGAUGCAGCAACGCCGCGUGCGGGAUGACGGCCUUCGGGUUGUAAACCGCUUUCGCCUGUGACGAAGCGUGAGUGACGGUAAUGGGUAAAGAAGCACCGGCUAACUACGUG